CUCUGUUUAGGGAAAUUCUGGUUAUACAACAUCUACUGCACGACUGAUCACCAGGGUUCAGUUUGACGAUCAGGCUGGCCAGGUAGAUGUUCCCAUCCUCCUUGACCAUGGCGUGAGUAUUGUUGCAGAAGCUGUACAUUGGAUUGAAGGUGAUGCCUUUCCCAUAUAGAAAAGGAACUCUAUUUCGUUCAGUGCAUUGGAGUAGUCAUGCUUCCCACCAAGACCCCCAGACAAGUUCUCCAUGCCCUUUUGUACAGAAUGUAAGGUCAUCAAACUCCCAAAACUGCAUCCGAAGGAAAACUUGGGUACAUAUUCUGCCAUUCUCU
ensembl:misc_RNA 7SK 7SK RNA